UAUUCUCUUCUUUUUUAAGGAUUGAGCCAUUUGAAGUUGGAUGAAAGAUGAUCUGCAUCAUUGUGUUUAUGAUAAUGUGGAAAAGUACCAAUUGUUUUGAGAAUUGGUUCCACAGAUGUCAGUGAAAGAGACUUACGACUUAAUGUACAUGUUUUUGAACAGAACUAUUAAAAAGAAAAAUGGUGCAAAAUCAAUUGAAUCUGGUCACAAGAGAGAUGGAGACCUCGAGAGACAGAAAAAGAACAGACCAGGGAAUCACAGAUCCAUAUCAGAUAAUAAAAUUAAAUUGAAAAUUUAAAGUUUGAAUUUUAUGUUAUUGAAACUAUUAAUUUACAAACUUCCUGAAAAUUUGGAUUUUAUUUAUUAUUGAAUAGAGGCUAAGGGUAUUUGACCAUCAUCAAUGUGCUUACACAUUGAUUUUCAUUCAACUUUAAGAACUUCUUUUUAGGUUUUUAGGGGAAUAUCUGUUGUAUAAGUUACAAAGUUUUGUAUGGAUAUCCACAUUCUGAAUGUUUUCUGAA